AGGACAAGAGCCUUUUCGAUUAGCUAAGGAGACUGCCUAGGAACAAAAACAAGAAUUUCUACUUAUUUUUGAAGAAUUAAGUUGCAGGCAAGUCAUCAUUGGCUACCAAACCAUACUCUUAUCU
rnacentral:pre_miRNA from 1 species